rnacentral:tRNA from 1 species
CUCCUCCGUGGCGCAAUUGGCUAGCGCGUCUGACUGUUACUGAUAGUAGCUUAUCAGGAGGUUGAAAGUUCGAGCCUUUCCGGGGGAG